rnacentral:lncRNA from 1 species
CGGCAGUUACGGCGGCGGUGGCGGCGGUGUUAGCUAACUUCUUAAAAACUUUAUAUUUUAGAAGGUGGAAGUCCUGGAUGCUUCAUACUUUGUAUAUAGAUGCGUCAUGUUACGAAGUUUCUGUCAGUCACAUGUCCAAUGUCCUUGACCUCAUUUUCAUGGUUCAGUGACUACUUGAAAAAAAAGUUAAAAUUUUUUGUAAUGUUAAAUUCUCUCUUAUUAUAAGUAAUAGGAUAACUAUAUUUGGUAUGUGCGUACGUUGCAAGGUCCUCAUGCCCGUCAGACAGUUUUCACUUGACCUCGACCUCAUUUCAUGGAUCAGUGAACAAGGUUAAGUUUUGGUGGUCAAGUCCAUAUCUCAGAUACUUUAAGCUAUAGGUCUUGUAUAUUCGGUGUAUGGAAGGACUGUAAGGUGUACAUGUCCAACUGGCAGGUGUCAUCUGACCUUGACCUCAUUUUCAUGGUUCAGUGGUUAUUGUUAAGUUUUUGUGUUUUGGUCUGUUUUUCUUAUACUAUAUGCAAUAGGUCUUCUAUAUUUGGUGUAUGGAAGGAUUGUAAGGUGUACAUGUCUACCUGGCAGGUGUCAUCUGACC